GCCUUUGGCGUUUGCCAACACGUAGAGCUCGAAAAGUUACAUGGAAUAAAAAAAAAACCUUGAAUCGGACAUCGGACGACGAAGGUAUCCCCUUUCAAUGCUUUUAAUCCAUGCCACUGCCACACGACCGAGCCUAGUGUUAGCGCGCCUGGGCUGUACUCAACGAUUCAUAUCGGGCGCACUCUCCCUUCCUGAUUAUCUGUUCGAAGAUUCAUUCAUUGUUCAUAAACACUCCACACAGCAGAGAGAAGAAAACACAAUCUCUUUCUCUCUCUCUAACAGCCAUGGAUCUCUUUGGUUUGGGCAGGCGAGUUUUCGACUUCAAAUUUUCCCUGGAUCUCUUUGGUCUGGGCAGAUCCAGUAGACCAUGGAGAACAUGCUUUUGCAUUGAAUGUUCAAAUCAUAUGAUAAGGCGAGAAGCAUGUUCUGUUAGUAUUCAGUGACUGAAGUUUUAUCGCAAGGCCAUGGUUGUCUCUCUUCUUCUUUAAAUUAACUUGGGACAGGCGCUUUCCCUUAGGCUAGUGUUUGUGAAAAUGGUACAAAUUAAGUUGGUGCAUAAACAUGCCGCUCAAAGGUACAACUGAGGUUACAGGAAAAGCAAGGUAGUUUUCGUAUCAGCAAGCCUUCAGCCCUGCUUCUUCUACUGUGGGUACUUUUUGUCACUUAUCAGGAGGCCUUUGGCAGUCGGCCCUGCUACUUUUGAAAUGGUCGCAAAACAAUUUAUUGUUCAAGCUGUUGAUGACGCCAUCAAAGGUAGAUUACGCCUUUCAUAAAUGUGUUCAAGGUGUUACUCUCUGGCCUUUCUCAUCUCAAGGUAUGUCUCUUUCACAUUGCUGUUUUCCUUUUUGGAUAUUUGUGUUCUAUCUUAGUCCUGUUGUAAUUAUAUACUGCCUUCCACAUGCACUGCAUCCGCGAUUCCAUCCAAUAGAAUUUGUUUUCCAAUUUUCCCUUCCAAUUGCAUGUAAUCUUAAUUUGGAACAAUAAGAUGUGCAGAAUGACUUUGAGAUAAUCAAAUCAAAAGCACAUUUCAUUAUAAACUCGAUGCAGCUUUCAGCUUCAUUUAGUAAAAGAAUAUUGCUUAAAUGGAUUUCUAAUUAAUUCACUUUUGCCAACAAUUCUUUUCUUCUUAGACAUUUAUGUUGCUUUUAUUAAAUUAAUGGAAAUGAAAGUAAAUUAGCGUGGAAAUAAUCUUGGAAGCUUACUAUACUUGACAGCUUCAAGACUAGACUUGCUCUCUCUACUAGUUUACUAUUUGCAGAGUCCUAGUUAAAAAGCCUUUAGGUGCAGCGAAAAAAGUUAUUCACAACUUUACUUCUGCUAAAAUGGGACUAAUUGCACAAAUUGAUGAGUGAGAAAUCUUUAUUCCAUGUAAAUGGGAAUUUGAAAGGAAGGUAGAGAGGGAAAAUAAAAACAGAGUAAAAUGUUCUCUCUAGUUUGGGUAGCGAGUAAAGGUGAAGGGUUUAGUAAAAUUUAAGAAAUAAAGUUAACUUUGAAAUUAAUAAAGAAAGGGUUUGCAUAUUGGAGCAUAAUGGAGCUUCAUAUAAAUCUGUUUUUGUUCUGCUGCAACUCUUAAGGAGAUUAUCACAUCAUGACGUCUGAAUGGAACGUUAUGGUAUUGAUUAAGGAAAAUGGAGUUUAGGAUCUACAGAUUCUCGCUAGUACCAUGGACAAUGGAUUGGAAGUGAUAUGGAGGCGAGAUGGGUUUAACAUAUAUAUAUAUAUAUAUAUAUAUAUAGACACACACAUAAUGUGAUGGUGACAGGCAUUGAGUGAGCUAAAAUGGGUUCUUUGGUGGAGUGAUUUUGGGGCGGAGCUGAACCAAAGAAGAGUUGGGUAAGGCGGAGAUGAAGGAAGAAGACAAAGUUUUUGUUGUUGAGGGGAGGUUAUUUGCUUGAAGGUGGUGAUUGCGCGAGAUUUUAGGCGGAACGACACUAAGAAGGAGCGUUUUAGGCAGAGUGAUUUUUCCUUCCUUUUUUCUAUAAUUACUCUCUAUUUCCCCCUUCAUAGUAAAAUAUGAAGUACUUAUAGGAGAGUUAAACCCUAAAAUAAAGUAUUGUCAUUUAAACAGAGGCAAAGAAGGGUUGAUAUUAAAAUGUACAAUUUUUUUUUUUAAUUUAAGGGUCUAAAUUGAAAGGGACUUUUGUUUUAUUUCUUUUUUAUUCAAGGCUAAAAAAUUCCUCAUAAAUUGAAUCAAAAUUUGAGAUUGCAUUGUACUAAUUUUGUCUUUUUUUUUACUUUGAAUAAUUUUUCAUUUAAUGGUGGAAAAUUAAUCUUUCAAAAUAUUUAAGGUCUUUCAAAAUAUUUAAGGGUUAGGUUAAUUAGGACAAAUUUGUUUUAUUAUUUUUGAUUAUAAGGUCUACAUUUAUCCUUACAAAAAUUGAGGGUGGAGAUUAAAUAGUAUAACUUCUUUAGCUAAUUUUAAUCUAAGGAUUUGAAAUUAGUCAUUUAAUAAAUUUUAUAAAUGAAAUUUAAUUGUAUCAUUUUAUUUUAUUUUCCUAAA